CGACCAUUUCAUAAUUCCUGUGUCGUGUAGUGCCACCAAUGUGACCACACACAUCAGUGACCUCCUCCUGGUUAUACUACGGCAAUUCGUUUGGGAAAAGGCUGAUUUGAGAAUGAUUAAUUUUUAAAUUAUGUUCCCAAUAGAAAUUCCCCCAAAUGAUGUAAACGCACCUUUUACCAAAUAAUUGCUGUAAGAUAACCAGCACGAUGCAACUAAUGUGUGAGGUGAUUUUGGUGGCACUAGACGUCACAGAAGUGAAAUUGUUUGAUGGUUUGUUUCAUUUUGGUAUACACAUUUGUAGACGGUCCCUGCGCUCCGGUCUCACUGCUGGCUGCUCAUCAAUGUAAGUAAUACUGCACAAAGGACGGCUCGUUUUGAUGUAAAAAAGGUUGUGUACAAAAAAUUGCUUUCAUCGCUCUUGGAUAGUGAGAAUAAUGUGUGGCCAACAACAAUGAACACUGUGGCGUCCUUGCGCCAGAAAAGUACAUCAGUCACGCUGUUGAAUUAUUUAAGAACAUACUCGCAAAAACAGAGCGUCGAAUUAUUUAAGAACAUGCUCGCAAAAACAGAGCGUCCAGGACAUCCUUCCCGAAAGUGACCACAAUACCGGAAGAUAGAGGUUUUGAAUGUAAUUACACUUCCUCACCUGAGAGAGGCAGUAAUGCCAGCAUAUACUCUGUUCUUGUCUGGCGGAAGUAAAUGAAAGGGGAAGUCAUAGCAAGACGGUGUUGUUUCGUCUCUAUGAUCGUGUUUUAAAAUUAUGUACACAUUUAGAUCAUGUCAAAGAAUAAUAUUCAACACCUCUAUUUUUCAUCCAGAAUCAAGUCCUCUCAAGGCUAUAGUUUAGCCUGCUAGCUGUUACCAAAGACAGCGGAAGUUAAGAACACAUACUGCGCAUGCGUCGUUCGCCAUUUUGAACUAUUGUGAGAAAGAUUGCAACGAAAUAGAUUGUUGCCGCGUGUGUUGUUGCUGUGCGUAUUUUCCGCGUGGGUUGUUCGUUACUGUUACGACAAGGUCCCCUAAGUGAACGUUGAAGCCUCUCGGGGUAGAUUAGCUUGCUAGAUGCUAACACAGAGAUACCGGAAGUGAUCAACAGAGAUCAAGUGAGAGUGUAAAGUGUUGUGAUUGUGUGAACAUGUGCGAAAGAACGAUAGCAGAGUACGAGGAGGAACUUUCUGGACGGAAAGAGGAGAACGAGCUACAACGUCAAUUAUUGGACGCUGUUUUCAAGAACCCUCGAGUUGCGCUACACAGAGCAGAAGUCAGCAAAGAACAUCUUCACCCUGAGCAGCAGGAGUGGAGCUCUAGGAUGGAGCAGGAGGUGCCACACCUCCCUAACAUUAAAGAGGAAGAGGAGGAGCCACAAUAUCCCCACAUUAAAGAGGAAGAGGGGGAGCCACAGCCCCCUCCCCUUAAAGAUGAAGAGGGUGAGCCACAGCCUCCCCACCUUAAAGAGGAACAGGGGGAGCCACAGCCCCACCACCUUAAAGAUGAAGAGGACGAUCACAGCAUUAGUCAGGAGGGAGAUCAUCUUGAAGGAUUGGAGUUCCCAGUGAUUGGUGUCCUUAUGGCGGGUGAUGAGGAUGAUGAAGAUGAAGAAGACAAAGGUGAAAGUGAGGAGAAGAGAGAGGUGGAGCCUCCAAGCAGCAGCUCAACUCAACACAUGACAACAGAAGCUGAUGGAGACCACUGUGGAGGAUCACAAGCAGACAACCUCUUAGCUCCACUAUCAGAUAGUGACGACACAAAAUCACACUCUCCUGACACUGAUGAUGAAGACUCUAAAGCUGAUAUGACAUGUCACACUGACAACACACACUUGAAAUGCUCUCACUGUGACAAAACUUUUAAAAACCGUCGUAAUCUGAAAACACACGUGAGAAGUCACACAGGAGAAAAAACAUUCAUGUGCUCAAUUUGUGAUAAAAGAUUCUCUUGGAAGGAAACUUUGACACGACAUAAUCGAUUGCACACUGGAGAGAAACCUUUUUCCUGUUCAGUGUGUGGUGUGGGUUUUGCACAAAAAAAUAAUUUGACAAUACACAUGAGAAAACACACUGGAGAAAAACCAUAUUCUUGCUCAGUGUGUGGCACAGGUUUUGUAGAACCUCAAAGUUUGAAAAUACACAUGAGAAGUCACACAGGAGAAAAACCAUUCUUGUGCUCAGUUUGUGGCAAAAGAUUCACUCAAAAGCAUAGUUUGACAGUACAUUCUAGAGUGCACUCUGGAGAGAAACCGUUUACCUGUUCAGUGUGUGGCAUAGGUUUUGCACAAAAACGUGGUUUAAAAUUACAUGUGAGAACACACACUGGAGAAAAACCAUAUUCCUGUUCAGUGUGUGGUAUAGGUUUUGCACAAAAUGAUUAUUUGAAAGCACACAUGAGAACGCACACUGGAGAGAAACCGUAUUCCUGCUCAGUAUGCAGCAUAAGUUUUGCACGAAAACCUAAUUUGACAACACACCUGAGAAGACACACUGGAGAAAAACCAUAUUCCUGUUCAGUGUGUGGUAUACGUUUUGCACAAAAAGAUUAUUUGAAAGCACACAUGAGAACACACACUGGAGAAAAGCCAUAUUCCUGUUCAGUCUGUGGUGUAGGUUUUGCACAAAAAGGUAAUUUGAAAAAACACAUGACAACACACACUGGAGAGAAUCUGUAUUCCUGUUCAGUAUGUGGUAAAGGUUUUGCAUAUAAAGGUAAUUUUAAAAAACACAUGACAACACACACUGAAGAGAAUAUGUCUUCCUGUUCCGUAUGUGGUAAAGGUUUUGCACAUAAAGGUGAUUUGAAAAAACACAUGACAACACAUGGUGGAGAAAAAACAUAUUCCUGUUCACUGUGCGGUAAAGGUUUUGAGCAUAAAGGUGAUUUGGAUAAACACAUGCGGACGCACACUGGGGAGAAACCAUAUCCCUGUUCAGUGUGUGGUGAAAGAUUUACACAAAAAGGUAAUUUGAAAAAACACAUGGCAACACACACGAGAGAGAAACCUUAUUCGUGUUCAGUGUGUGCUGUAGGAUUUCGACAAACUCAUGCUUUGAAAAGACACAUGAGAAGACACACUGGUGAGAAAGUGUUUAGGUGCAGUGUGUGUGAUGAAAGAUUCUCUUAUAAGUACCAGCUUAACAAUCACAAGUGUGCUGGUGAGAGUGACAGGAGUAAAUAACGCUGCAGGACUUUAAACUGUUCAGACUUUGAAAACUUUGACCAUCAAACUUUACCACCACAUGUAUUGUGUUUUGUGCGUGUAACACAAUCUUGAUAAUAUAAUAUGUAAUGAUCAUACGGAAAUGUUCAAACUAAUUUGUAUUUUGAAUUUAUUUAAAAAGGGACAGUAUACUGUAUAUUCAGGAACACUUGCAUGCACAUACGCCAGAAUUAGCCCAAAGGCUACUUUACAUCUGUAGUUCCUGGCAGGUCAAAGAAGCAACGGGAAAACACGAAACCGUCACACAAAUGUAAAAUAAAACACAACGACGUACAACAAUGUGUAAGAUAAAACAUUAGCGUAACAUUAAUGGUUACAGAUGUGGUUUAAAUGAAUGUAGUUGGAUUGUUGUUCCAAAUUUCCGUACCUUUGACUGAUAACACCUGUUGGAUGUUGUGCGUCGUCAGGUAUUACACAGUCACCGCUGGUCGAGGUUCUUGUUACUGUUCCACUCAUUGUGGAUUUCAUCUUCAUUCUAGGAGAAGGGAUAGGGGGCUUCAGUAUCUUGUUGAUUGGGGGUGUUGUGGUCCACAGGAGCGUUCCUGAGUCAUUCCUGAGGCCUCUCUAAUAUAUGACUUUUUCAAAAAGUUCCCUGAUAAGCCAGGUAGGCCACCAGGAGGCGUCCGCAGAGGCGCACCUGUAGCCACUUUGCCAUUAGGGGUAUUUAGCCGCCUGGCUGCAGGAGGAGGAUGUGGGUUUGUACUGCUUUAACGGCAUGCUACUGGACAGUGGAGUUCCGUCAGCUUAAUUUUGUUCCUAUCUGGUUGAUUGUUAUAGUUCCUGUUCUCGCUCCAGUAUUGCAUUUUUGUAUACCCGUCUCCCGUCCUCCUGGCGCCUCGUGACAUCGUCACGCCGUCCACCGUCCAUGUAGGGAUUUUCUUUCGGCUGCUGUUUUUCAUUUUUAGUCGCUUUAGUAUUUUUUUUUUUACCAGCUACGGGCUAACCUAUGGUGCGGUUUUCAUUUUUUGCUAUCUUGUCCUGCACUAUCUGUCUCUGUUGUUAUUCAUUUUUUUCUGCAUUGAGAUCAUUGGAUUUUGUUCAUUAAAAGAAUUCUAUUUUUGGCACCCAAACCGUGUGGAGUGGCUCUGCGUCUGGGAUGCUUACCCGUCACAACCCUAACAAAGAUAUUUGAAUUCAUGCACAAACCGCAGCUCAUCUCCUUUCUGAAAGCCAUGAUUUAGGAAGCCACACGAUACGGGUGAUUGCUGAUGUCAACUUUUUUGAGCCUUCUGUGUCAGACUUUGCAUUUGUAAAGAUGUCCGCAUCAUCUGCACAUAAUAUGGUAAGGAGACGUUUGGUAAAUCAUUCAUAUAUAAAGAAAAUCAAAUAGGCUCAAGUAUGGAAGCUUUGGCUAUUCCGUCUUAACAGUCCAAAUAUGGGGAUUUGAUACCACUGACAGACACAAUGAGUUCUGUUCGACAAGUAAGAUUUCAUCCAAAGUCUUGCGUGUGUAACCCAGGUUAACUGGAUGCUCAAAAGUAAAAGCAUAUUAAUAAAAACAGCAAUAAAUACUUUGUAUAAAGAAAAAAUAUGAGACAAUAUGGUUAUAUAAUCUGUAAAUAUGUGUAUAAUAAUCUAUGUUGUUUAAAACCUGUUAAAAUGUGAAAAGGAUGUAAAUUCAUUGGUUAUUGUAAUUUACGUUUGAAUUACGGAUAUGUGACUUUUAUUUUGAAAGGGUACGUUGCUACGUAACCCAUGUGACUAGCUCCAUUUCCUGUGCAGAGGAGGGAGAACAUUCCGCAGUCAGCACAUAGUGAGCAGCAGAAGGAGAAGAGCAGGAAACUUUCCAGAAAAAUAUGAAAACGUGUCUAAAUACUAUUUUUGUUGUCUGAAGAAAGUGCAAAAAAGGUAUUUUUGAUUUUCCACCGUUUUCCUGUUUUGGAGAUGUUUUAUUUUCUCGAACGGGACUUGGCCAAUUAGAUUGGGUUGAAGAACUAUCGAGAUAGAUCGACAUAAGAGAACAUGUGCUGGAGCACAUGUGCUUGAGAUAAAGAUGGCGAGCCACCCACGGAACCUGUGAACUGCGCAUGCGCCAGGACCAGUUCAGGAGCAACAAGCCCUCUGCUGACCGGUGCAUGGUACUACAACUGGUAGGAUUACCCAUUCUUUCUGCAAAACUGCAGUGGACCAAGGGUAACCGCAGGAUUGUCCAAGACAAUCACAGGACUAACAAAUAGAAAAGAAAGAAAAAGACUUAAUUUGGUUAUUCAGUCUUUUGCUGAAUUAUUUUUAACUUGGCACAUUGUUCUAUUCUUUUGGUAUUUUCCUAAAUUAUUGUAAAAGGGUUAUUUUUACAGUAAGUGAUUUGUAUGUUUGUAAACAAACUAAAAAAUGGAAAUUUCAAAAACUGAUUUGAAUGUAACAAGAAUAGAACUAAACUUGGUUUACUUUCAACCAAGUAGUUAAUUAGAAAUUAAUCAAGAACUAACACGAACUAAACAAAAGGUUGCAACCGAGGACUAAACCAACAACGGAACUAAACAUUGGCCAUAAUACCAAAUCUGGUGUCAACAUAGUGCUAACUUAAUUCUUUAAACCAAAAUAAGGUUUAACAGAAAAAAGGUAGAAGGGUUUAACUCAACUGGAAGUGUGUGUUAUGUGUUUGUAUGUUAUGUGUGUAAAUGUUUCUGUCCAUAUUUGUAUUUUGUAAUAAUAAGCCGGCAGUUCAACUUAUUCUUGGUCUGUGGUUUUUUUUAUGUCUGCUAAGCCAAAAAAU